rnacentral:rRNA from 1 species
GACGAACGCUGGCGGCGUGCUUAACACAUGCAAGUCGAACGGAAAGGCCCCUUUGGGGGUUCUCGAGUGGCGAACGGGGGAGUAACACGUGAGUAACCUGCCCUUGACUUCGGGAUAACUUCAGGAAACUGGGGCUAAUACCGGCUAGGAAUCCUUGCUGCAUGGUGGGGGUUGGACAGCUUCGGCGGUUUUGGAUGGACUGGCGGCGUAUCAGCUAGUUGGUGGGGUAGUGGCUUACCAAGGCUUUGACGGGUAGCCGGCCUGAGAGGGCGACCGGCCACAUUGAGACUGAGGGACGGCCCCGACGCCUACGGGAGGCAGAAGUGGGGAAUAUUGCACAAGGGGCGGCAGCCUGAUGCAGAAACUCCGCGUGCGGGAUGACGGCCUUCGGGUUGUAAACCGCUUUCAGCAGGGGCGAAGCUUGUGGUGACGGUACCUGCAGAAGAAGCACCGGCUAACUACGUG